CCUACGGGUGGCUGCAGUGGGGAAUAUUGGGCAAUGGGCGAAAGCCUGACCCAGCAACGCCGCGUGAAGGAAGAAGGCCCUCGGGUUGUAAACUUCUUUUGUCAGGGACCAAGAAAGUGACGGUACCUGAAGAAUAAACCACGGCUAACUAGGUGCUAGCAGCCGCGGUCAUACGUAGGUGGCAAGCGUUAUCCGGAUUUACUGGGUGUAAAGGGCGUGUAGGCGGGACUGCAAGUCAGAUGUUAAAUUCCAGGGCUCAACCCUGGAACUGCAUUUGAACAUGUAGUUCUUGAGUGAUGGAGAGGCAGGCGGAAUGCCGUGUGUAGCGGUGAAAUGCGUAGAGAUACGGAGGAACACCAGUGGCGAAGGCGGCCUGCUGGACAUUAACUGACGCUGAGGCGCGAAAGCGUGGGGAGCAAACAGGAUUAGAUACCCCAGUAGUC
rnacentral:rRNA from 1 species